rnacentral:rRNA from 1 species
AUGGCGUUACACAAAUCUAAUGUGUCUUGUGCGAAGCUAUUGAUUCAGGGUGGAGCUAAUGUGAGCAGUGCUGGCCCUUGUUAUAAUCCCUUGGUAACGGCUGCAGAGAAGGGCUUAACUGAAGCUAUCAAGUGCUUGUUGGAAGCUGGUGCAAAUCCAAAUGUUCUUGACCAGUUUGGUAGAUUGCCAAUAGAAUUGGCUGCUGAGUAUGGUACACGGGAAGACGUUGAGAUGCUCUUUCCUUCCACCUUGCCAAUUUCAACUGUGACAAAAUGGAGCGUUGACGGUAUCGUUAGUCAUGUGAAGAUGGAAAUCAAGCAGCUUGAGGAUGACAAUUUUGUCCAAACGAGGGCUUCUGACCUGAAACAACAAGGGGAUGAAGCAUUUAAGAAGCAGGAUUAUCUGAAUGCAUCAGUGUUCUACACACAGGAUCUGAAGAUGGAUAACUUCGACGCGAAGUUGUUAUCAAACAGGAGUCUUUGCUGGCUUCGCAUGGGUAAUGGGGAAAGGGCUUUUGGUGAUGCACAUGAAUGCAUAGCGCUUUGCCCGAAAUGGGCAAAGGCACACUAUCGGCUAGGCGCAGCUUUUAUGUUUAUGGAGGAUUACAACGGUGCCUAUCAGUCUCUCUCUCGCGCAUUAGAGCUGGACCCUGAAAGUAAGGAGGUCGAGAAAUUAUUCUGGGAGGCAAUGGAACUAAUGAGUUAG